AACUGCUCUGGAAAACACCACAUGGUCUGCUCUGCCAUGGUGAGGUGACCAGGUGGGCAGUCACCAUCUUGACUAAGGUUAAAAGGAGAGUCAUCACCUCACCACCAUCUUUAGUAAGGGUGAUGGGUCCACCAGGAGACAUCAGGUCUUCGAAUUAUUUUGGAUUAAAUAGAUUUCUAUGUGAUAAUUCCUGUCCUGUCCUAAAAACAAGGUUUGUAAAAGAUAGAAUUUAAAAGAAUGCUGGUUUACUGAGAUAUUAAAGCUGCACCUCUGUGUUCAUGUACAGGGAUGACUCUUGCUGGCAGCCAGAUUGUGUAACCUAAGAAUAAGCCCGUUGAUAUUGAAACUAAAUUGUUUGCAUUGUUGAAACUUGGUUUUGCCUUAUAUAUCUUAGGACCACAGCUAAACGCCAGAGACUGAGAUAUUCCUAUUUGAUGAUACCUAGUCUCUCUCCUUCUUUUACUAACAUUAGUAAGCUGUAACUAAUUGGGAAAAUUGUAUGUUCAGAUUUACCUUAUAUAUGCUCUCAAAGUUAAGCACAAACAUUUGUCUAAUUUAGAUAUACCUAAAAGAUUUUGUUCCCCUGAUCCUCAAAUACCUUUAGAGAUCUGAGAAUAUGGCAUUUAAUAUGAAAGCUUUUUAUGAUAGAGAGACAUGCCAGCUCCUGGCAGAAUCCUGUAUCUCCUCCAAGAAGAUGGAUGGCCACGGAAGAGCUGUCACCUGGAGGCUUGCUUUGGAUGUGGCAACGCCAGCCACCGAGCAAAACACUACCUUUCACCCCAGCCGCUACCUAGAUCCUGCCAGGACUGGAUAACAUGCGGCAAAGUCAAGGUGGGUCAGUCUCCCCAAAUGCCUACUCCAAAAAAAAAAUCUGUCAGAUCUUCUGUGCUUAGCAGCUAAACUGGGACUUAUGGCCCCUACCCCCCAACAACCAUGUAGAGACUUGGGAGUGCCUAGGUAGCUGGAAAGCUGUCUCACUCCUGCUCAUUUACUUGUCCUUCUCAGAUCUGAUGGUGUUUGAUGACCAGGGUAUUAAUAGAUUUGCCAGUUUUAGAGCUCUCCCCCCGCCCCUCCAACCCCAAGGCUACAAGCACCUUGGUAGCUCAUUAGUAAGUUUCCUGUUAAAAGUACAGACAGAUGUGCCUCAUUCACAGACUUCAUGGUACAGGAUAAACUGGUUUCCAAUGUAACUUCAGAGGUUCAAAGUUUUAGCAUUGAUAAAUGCAGUUCUGAUAAACUGAUAGAGUACUGACUACAAACUAUUUUCAGGAGUCCUUAAGUUUCUAGCCCUUUGCUAUGACACCAAGAUAUAAAUCUGUUGCAGUUGUUUUAGACACCUGCAGGUUCCGGCACAGGUCCGCCCCUCCUGCCAUACUCAUGCCAAGGCCAACCCACAAGGGGUCCUGCAGAUAUGCCAGCCCCUGUACCAGCUCUGAAGACACUAACCAGGAUGGAAAGAAGCACUUCCCAUCUCCAGAAAAACAGCAAAUGUGACGGCUCCUGUACCCCCGGAACACAUCACCCCUCGAUUUGGUGUGCCAUCCCUCCAAGCUCCUGGGACUUCACUGCUGGUACCACCACUCCAGACUCAAGAGCAUAUCAACUCUUUCGUCUGGCUCAUUCACCCUUGCCUCUUCUGUACAACCAGGGCACAUCUCCAUUUCAUUCUCUCCGACAGUUAUCACUCUUCCCAUGGCUAGCCCAGCUCAUGGGCCCAUGAUAACAAUCUAUUUUUUCUCCUAGCAGCCUGCCUUCUCAGUUCCCUCAAGGAACAGAUGCCUGAGUUCUCCAUGAUGACAGCUAACUGAGUGCUUCUUCACUCACACCUCCCUCUGUGCAUGACCCUAACUCCCAACUUCCCUCUUCCCACUUCGUCCCAAGUCAGCAGGAAGCAGUCUCAAGAACUCAGCUCCCCAUUCCCACCUCACGUGCUACCCGAUUCUAACUCCUCACCUUUUAAUAAUAAACAAAAGGGGAAAUAUUAGCAUUUAGAUGUUACCUGGCCAACCCUUUGGGAACCUAGCCAGUAGGCAGGCAGUACCUUGGCCCGCUCAGGGUCCUGACAAUGUCCUCCUACAUAGCCCCAUUUGCAUAGCCCAUUUGUACAUAUUCUAAGCCUGCUUUAAGAGGUGGGCUCUGCCCACCUUUCUCUCUCUCUCUUCCUUUCUCUUCCCAUGAGGCUGCUCCUGCACCUUCUCUCUUCCCCCUUUCCAUCUCUUCUCUUCCCUCUUCCUCUCUCAUUCCUCCUCUCUCCUCAGCCUUUAUCUCCAGAGGUGCACUCUGCAUCCCUUCCCUUCCCUUCCCUUAAUAAAAUCCUCUGUGAGUGCUGUC